rnacentral:sRNA from 1 species
GAUACCAGGGAUAAAAGGUCGAAAAUCCGAUGCAAGCUUGCUUGCAAGAGGAUUUUCGACCUUGGAACCCGCCAAAAACAUGAAUAAGCAGCCAUUUUUCGCAGAAAAAUGAGCGGAUUAUGAAUGUUUUUGAGGCUUGUGUGAGUGCGAAGCACGGAACGAGCCGG